AACCCCCGUGAUAAUUGCACAUGUGAAAUAUCAGGUGUGAAAAAGUCAAACAAUAAUGGAGAACCUUGUUGGGUACUAACCAGCGGAUAUAAUGAUGAAGAGGAUUAUAAGCGAGGGACAUGCAAGGAUGGAAAGUGUGUAUAUACCGUCAUUGUAAAGGGCUGUGAACACGUCGAAGAGGAGAAAAGACGCAAGAUGGCCUACGGCAAUCAAACAGGCUGUGCCUUCACAUGCCAAAAGAAUGGAACAAAUGUUCAAGAGUAUGGUUACUACGGCGAGGGUGUGCCGUGUCUGCAUGCAGUUGGACCCGGAAAUUAUACGAGUGGCACAUGUGUGAAUGAAACAGGCAAACUCAUUUGCAAGCCAGUGACACCUGCACUCACCUGCUAACAACUGCUUUCACUCAAUCGCUGGAUAUUGGAAAGCAAGCCAUCUUUCUUACCAACAAUGGGAAAACGUUCAGAAAAUAAAAUUCGUCGGACC